rnacentral:rRNA from 2 species
CAAGGCGACGAUCCCUAGCUGGUCUGAGAGGAUGACCAGCCACACUGGAACUGAGACACGGUCCAGACUCCUACGGGAGGCAGCAGUGGGGAAUAUUGCACAAUGGGCGCAAGCCUGAUGCAGCCAUGCCGCGUGUAUGAAGAAGGCCUUCGGGUUGUAAAGUACUUUCAGCGGGGAGGAAGGUGUUGUGGUUAAUAACCGCAGCAAUUGACGUUACCCGCAGAAGAAGCACCGGCUAACUCCGUGCCAGCAGCCGCGGUAAUACGGAGGGUGCAAGCGUUAAUCGGAAUUACUGGGCGUAAAGCGCACGCAGGCGGUCUGUCAAGUCGGAUGUGAAAUCCCCGGGCUCAACCUGGGAACUGCAUUCGAAACUGGCAGGCUUGAGUCUU